rnacentral:lncRNA from 1 species
UGCUUCUUCUUGAGUCGGAGCAGCUUCUUUUUCAGCAACUCUAUCUUUCGAUCUUGGAGGGACGAUGCUGCUCAAGUCGAGGCUUGGGUAUAAUUUUUCGAUCGCAUCUCGACCGUCUUCAUACCUGACGCAGUACGAAGCGAAGCCAUUUUCAAGGAUCCCUUCCUUGAAUUCUUCUGAACCUCGAAAAUCCUUGACUGCCCGACCCAGUGCUUCUCUUGCCGACUCCGCUUCCGCCUUGGCCAAAUCAGCAUCGACUAGAGCAGAGGAUAAUUCUUCUUUGGCCAGUGCUAACCUUUUCAGGCUGGCAUG